CAGGAACAAGAAAUCAUUUGAUGUCGCAAAUGCAACCGCGCAAACAGACUGGUGUGAGUUAAACUGCCCCGACCACUUGUCCCAACACUGAAUAUUUCAGAUAUAUUUUUCUCUGAGAAACAACCCCUGCUAUGAAAGCUGUUUUUUCCACCUUCCUCCCAAAUCCUGCAGAGCAAGGGGACAUCAAAUGGAACAUGGAGGAGACGGGUUCAAAACAAACAAAGGGAAAUGAUUCUUCAUACAAUGUAUAAUUAAGCUGUGGAACUCCUUGCCACAGGAUGUUGUGGAUGCUGUAAAUUUACAUGGGUUCAAAAAGGACUGGACAAGUUCAUGAAAGAAAAAUUCUUCAAGAGCUAUUAAAUACAAAGACAUUACCUCUGGCUCCGGAAGACGCUACAAUGCAAAUCUCAAGAUGUUGUGAGAGUGCUCUGAGGAAGUCUCACUUUGCUACUUUACUUUUCCCCAAGCAUGUAUUAAUUCUUGGCCCCUGUCAGAAAGAGGUACAUGUGUUAGAUGGAUCCCUGUAUAGCUGAUACAGCUCUUUUUAUGUUCUUGUUUCACACAGCUGACUUAUUCAGGGAGCAGAUCAAGUGAUGCCCACACCAUACUGUUCACUUUAAAUGCUGUUUCUCCACUUAGACUAGUAAGUAGUCUGAAAAUUGAGUGUAUU